rnacentral:rRNA from 1 species
AGUCAAUAGAUACCCGGGUAGUCCACGCCGUAAACGAUGAGUACUAGGUGUAGGAGGUAUCGACUCCUUCUGUGCCGCAGUUAAACACAAUAAGUACUCCGCCUGGGGAAGUACGGUCGCAAGAUUAAAACUCAAAGGAAUUGACGGGGGCCCGGCACAAGCAGCGGAGCAUGUGGUUUAAUUCGAAGCAACGCGAAGAACCUUACCUAGACUUGACAUCUCCUGAAUAGCGCAGAGAUGCGUGAAGCCCUUCGGGCGAGGAAGACAGGUGGUGCAUGGUUGUCGUCAGCUCGUGUCGUGAGAUGUUGGGUU